rnacentral:rRNA from 1 species
UUGUGGGUAGGGGUGAAAGGCCAAUCAAACUUAGAGAUAGCUGGUUCUUCGCGAAAUUUAUUGAGGUAAAGCGUUUGUUCAAAGUCAAAAGGGGUAGAGCACUCAUGAAGCUAUGGGGGUCCAAAGCCUUACUGAUCUUCUUGAAACUCCGAAUACUUUAUGACUCAAAGAAAAACAGUCAGACUUAAAGUGCUAAGGUUUUAAGUCAAAAGGGAAACAGCCCAGAAUGUUUGCUAAGGUCCUUAAACAAUAAGUAAGUGGAAAAAGAAGUUUUGUUCCAAAGACAACUAGGAAAUUGGCUUGGAAGCAGCCAUUUUAUAAUGAAAGCGUAAUAGCUCACUAGUCGAGGAAGAAAGCGCUGACAAUGUAUCGGGGCUCAACUUAUUUACCGAAGCAACAUAAACAUGGUAGCGAAGCGUUUUGUAAACCAAUGAAGAUAUUUUGUGAAAAAUAUUGGAGGAUUCAAAAGUGAGUAUACUGACAUGAGUAACGAAAAAUCAUGUGAAAAUCAUGAUCGCCGUAAGUUCAAGGGUUUCUGCGAUCUGGUGUUCAGCGCAGAGUGACUCGGCUUCUAAAUUUGCUGUGAAAACAGUCAAGUGAUGAAUUUCAUUAAACUGACAAAUGAAUACAAAAAAAGACACCAAAUUGGAUAGGUGCUUUUGUUGUUUGAUUUCAGGAAAAGGUUUAAUGUGUGAUGACCGUACCCAAAACCGACACUGGUGAACAAGUCGAAUAGACUCAGGCGUUGAGAUAACCAUGCUGAAGGAACUCGGCAAAAUAUUCCCGUACCUUAGGAAGAAGGGAAACCAAAACAUUGGUGACACAAAAUUGAGGGUGACGACUUUUUACUAAAAAAUUAGGACUCUGCAAAAUGGUAACAUGAAGUAUAGGGUCUGACGUCUGCCCGGUGCUAGAAGCUUAAGAGAAGACUUGCAAGAGUUGAAUUGAAGGCCUAGUAAACGGCGGUUGUAACUAUAACAAUCAUAAAGUAGCGAAAUUCCUUGCCAGCUAAUUCCUGGCCUGCAUGAAAGACGUAACGAUUGCCCUACUGUCUCCAGCAUGGACUCAGUGAAAUUGAAUUUUCCGUGAAGAUGCGGAAAUCGUGCCCCAAGACGAGAAGACCCUAUGCAUCUUUACUGUACAUUUACAUUGAAGAAAGAAAUCAAGUAUGUAGGAAAGGUGGGAGUCCAUACACCCUUGAAAUACCACCUUCUGGGUUUCUUCAUUCUCAUUUGAAUUCAAAAAAAGUGUAAAUGAGGCAGUUUGACUGGGGCGGUCGCCUCCUAAAGAGUAACGGAGGCGUGCGAAGGUAAACUCAAUGGAAGUUGGAAACUUUCUGUAGAAUGUAAUGGUAAAAGUUUGCCUGACUGCAAGACUAAACAAGUCGAGCAGAGACGAAAGUCGGCCAUAGUGAUCCAAAAGUACCGUGUGGAAGGGCUUUUGCUUAACGAAUCAAAGAUACGCUAGGGAUAACAGGCUAAUAA